GAGGGUAUAGCUCAAUGGUAGACUAUUUGCUUAGCAUGCACAAUGUCCUGGGUUCCAUCCCCAGUAUCUCCA
rnacentral:tRNA from 1 species